rnacentral:misc_RNA from 1 species
GAACAAGAAUACAACCUAUAGUUUGCAACAAUAUGUCAACAUGGGAGCCAAAAAUACCGAUAUUAUAAUCAUGUCAAAUAUAUGAACCAGGAAAUCAAGUGUAGGGGUGAAUACAUGCAGAAUGGUGAAGUUUUAGGCAAAAUAUAUUCACAUGUGCUCAAAGGUUGAUUUUGAGAACUAAAAGCAAUGUCAGCAGAAUAAAGAAAUUGAACUGGAAAAAUAAAUCCUAUUCAUAUGCAGAGACCUACAGAUAGAGAUACAUAAGAAAUUA